UGCAAAUUAUUGGAAAUAAUGGCAGAUGGCCUGUAUGCUAUUUUCCACAGAUUUGAGGCUUUCCACAGAUGGCCUGUAUUGUAACACCCACGAUGCGGCUAUAUCUCCCACGUGUCGAAGCACGACUUAGAGGCAUAACCGCAUGGUGGUUUUGUCGCAAGAAGGGUCAUCUUCACACAAUCCCAUGUAAUGAACAAGAAUGGGAUAAAGAGAGUUGGCUUACAAUCGCCACUUCACACAAUACAUAAAUUAAGAUCAUACAUCAUUCAAAAUACACUCAUAGACCGGCUACGGUCAAGUUCAAAUGAAAAGAAGACAACCCCAAAUGCUAGAUCCCCGAUCGUCCCGACUGGGCACCUCUACUGAUCAUCUGGAAACGAUACAUAGUAAGGACCAAGGGCCUCAUCAAAUUCCCACUUCAGCUCAGUUGCGCCAUCUGCGCCAGUAUCCUCGGCACCUGCAUCUGUUUUGGUAGAAUCUGUGAGUCACGAGGACUCAGCAAUCUCACACCCGCGAGAUCAAGACUAUUUAAGCUCAUAGGUAGGAAAGGUGUAAUAUGGUGGAGCUGCGGCAAGCACUAAGCAUAUAUGGUGGCUAACAUACGCAAGUGAGAGCGAGAAGAGAAGCAACGCGUCGGUCGAGAAGCUAGAAGCGAUCAAGAAGUGAUCCUGAAACUACUUACGUCAAGCAUAACACAAACCGUGUUCACUUCCCGGACUCCGCCGAGAAGAGACCAUCACGGCUACACACGCGGUUGGUGCAUUUUAAUGAAGUCAAGUGUCGAGUUAUCUACAACCGGACAUUAACAAAUUCCUAUCUGCCUCAUAACCGCGGGCACGGCUUUUGAAAGAUUAUAUACCCUGCAGGGGUGUCCCAACUCAGCCCAUCACAAGCUCUCACGCUCAACGAAGGAAUAGACCUUCUCCCGGGAAGACCCGAUCAGUCUCGGAAUCCCGGUUCGCAAAACAUUUCGACAAUGGUAAAACAAGACCAGCAAAGCCACCCGAUGCACCGACAAAUCCCGAUAGGAGCUGCGCAUAUCUCGUUCUUAGGGCACAACGGAUGAUCAAUAUGUCGGGUUGGUAUAGACCCUGGUUGCCCAGGGGACGCCGGACAUCGCUCAGGUUGGACCAACACUCGAAGGAGCACUGGCCCGGGGGGGUAAAUAAAGAUGACCCUCGGGCUCGCAAAAACCCAAGGGAAAAGGGCUUAGGUGGAAAAUGGUAAAACCAAGGUUGGGCCUUGCUGGAAGAGUUUUAUUCAGAGCGAACUGUUAAGGGGGUCCCAUAAAUCACCCAACCGUGUAAGGAACGCGAAAUCCAGGAACAUAACACUGGUAUGACGGAAACUAGGGCGGCAAGAGUGGAACAAGUCACCAGGCAUAAGGCCGAGCCUUCCACCCUUUACUAAGUAUAUAAGGUGCAUUAAUUUAAACAGGAGAUAUUGUGAUAUCCCAAAAUAACCACGUUCCGACCUGGAACAACCUUCAUCUUCACCUGCAGCUAACAAUGCUAUAAGAGGGGCUGAGCAAAAGCGGUGACAUAGCCAGACAAAGGGUUUGCUAGGACAGGAUGGUUAGAGGUUUAACAUGGCAAUAGGUAUGCAUGGUGAACAAAGGCAGGUAGGGCUAACAUAGCGAAAGAGCGAGUACUAGCAAACAAAGAUAGUAAUGAUUUCGAAGGUAUGAUCAUCUUGCCUGCAAGGUUCUCAGAGUAGUCGAAG
rnacentral:lncRNA from 1 species